UUCGCUGCGCCGCCGCCGCCGCCGGGCCCCGAGCUGGGAGGCGGCGGGAGCCGCCGCGUUAAAGGCGCAGGAGCGAACGGGGCCCGCGGCGGGCGGUGGGGAGCGGGGAGCUGCUCCGCUCCCGCCGGGCCUGGCGCCGCCCUGCCGCCACCGGGGCCUGUCACCGCCCCGCGGAUGAGGGGCCCGGCGGCUGUCGCUGCCCUACGGCUGAGGGGUGCCUGUCAUGACCUCAGAGCUGAGGGGGCCUGGGGACCUGUCACCUCCCCACAGCCGAGGGGUCCCAGGGGGCUGUGACUGCCCCACGGCUGAGGGGGCCUGGGGGUCUGUCACCUCCCCACAGCCGAGGGGUCCCAAGGGGCUGUGACUGCCCCAUGGCUGAGGGGGCCCUAGGGGUCUGUCACCACCCCAUGGCCAUGGGGCUCCGGGGUCUUUUACUGCCCCAUGGCUGAGAGGGCCCACGGGGCUGUCAUCGCCUCACAGCUGAGGGGGCCUGGGAGUCUGUCACCUCCCCACAGCUGAGGGGGACCCAGGGAUGUGACUGCCCCACGGCUGAGGGGACCCUAAGGGUCUGUCACCUCCCCAUGGCUGCAGGGUGCCGGGGGGCUGUCAUCAUCCCAUGGCCAUGGAGCCCAGGGGUCUGUCACCUCCCCACAGCUGAGGGGGCUCCGGGGUUGUGACUGCCCCAUAGCUAAGGGGUCCCAGGGGUCUGUCACCUCCCUAUGGCCACAGGGUCCCUGAGGGCUGUCACUGCCCGGUGGCUGAGAGGACCUGGGGGUCUCUCCCCAUCCCUCAGCUGAGGGGUCCCGGGCGCUGUCGCCUCCCCAUGGCUGAGGGGACCUGGGGAGUCUGUCAGGGCUGCAUGGCUGAGGGGUCCCAGUGGUCUGUCAUGUCCCCACAGGCCACCAUGGCCCUCCUCACACCGGCACCCUCCAGCCAAACAUUAUCUCACAGCAGCCGAUGGCCCCUGCCCGCACCCCAGCACUUAAUGCUUUCCCUUGGGAUUUCACAUGCGGCUCAUUAAAUGUCUCCCGCAGGGACCAUCGUGUGUGCAACCAGCCCGGGACUGCGCGGACAGCCCUGCUCCCCAUCACCCUGGGGACGAAGCCUCCCGCCACACCAUCUGGACGAUUAUGGCCCAGGUUUUAUUGCCAUAAGUGCUUUGUGCAAGAGCAACAGUACCCUCCAGAGGGUGCAGUCUUGUCAUCGGAGACUGCGGCGCUCCGGCUGUGCCGUCUCGGUGCCAAAGAUGCCUUCGCUGCCCCACGUCCCCACACAUGGUCGGCAUCAGAGUCGCUCCUGGCUCUCCCCAAAACGACCGGCGGAGACGAGGCCAAGCGUCGCAGGGUCCGUGUAAUUUUUAAAGCUGGCAUGCAUCUGGAGAGAGCGGACAGUCUAGAGGGCAUUCCAGUCGUCAGUGGAACUCAGGAAAUUAUUCAUAGCGGUGGCUCUGCCAAUGACCGGGGCGCGCGGAGACCCCAGCCAGGACCUUGGGGCCCUGUUAUUUUAGACCCGACCUACACAGAAGAGGAGAUGUCAGCGCGCCGAGGUGCGGGGAGAGCGGGAGGAGACGCGGGAGAGGCAGCGGAUGAAAGUUAAUGCCAUCCCAGUUAAAUCGAACCCCAGAAGGUCUCUCGAAGCAUGAAAAAUGCAUUUAUAAGACGCUGGAAGGAAGAUGUGUUCCAUAACUACUCUGGUGACCAGGCGUGCUGACUUGUGUCAUGUGGAGAAGGAACCAAAAGGGGGUAUUUCAUGUUAUUUCAUACCGCUGAUGGGAUUUUAUCUCUCACAGCAAAUCCAGGAACUUUUUAGUUACCAUUAUUGUUUGAUUUUAUGGGCCAUUUGAUAUUUAUUUUUAUUUCUAUUCAUUAUUUGUUGAGUGCACUUAGCCCCUUCCCCAAGGAGCCUGCCUUAUAUCUAAGGUGAUUUUUACGACCAGUGUUAGCACAGCAUCUGAGCAACUCGCACAACUUUAAUAUAUUUAUCCCGCACGCACAGUAUAUCAAGGCAGUCCUGGUAUUCCUACCGUGGAGAGCGGUGGUCUGCCUGUAAAAUCACAAGUCUAACUUACUGGGUUAAAAAAAAAAAGAAUAAACUCCAAAUUAUUUACAUCGUUCUUCUUUCUGAUCUUCAUUGUAAGCUAUCAGAAUGUAUUGGAGUCAUAUUUUCACAUUUUUUCCCUCCCCUACAAAACAUGAGGUCUAGCAAUGUAC